UGCCAGACUCCUACGGGAGGCAGCAGUGGGGAAUAUUGCACAAUGGGGGAAACCCUGAUGCAGCAACGCCGCGUGAAGGAAGACGGUUUUCGGAUUGUAAACUUCUAUCAAUAGGGAAGAAAGAAAUGACGGUACCUAAAUAAGAAGCCCCGGCUAACUGCGUGCCAGCAGCCGCGGUAAUACGUAGGGGGCAAGCGUUAAUCGGAAUUACUGGGCGUAAAGCGCUCGUAGGCGGUAUGUCAAGUCAAGGGUGAAAUCCCCGCGCUCAACGUGGGAACUGCCUUUGAAACUGGCAAACUGGAGUGUGUGAGAGGAUAGUGGAAUUCCAGGUGUAGGAGUGAAAUCCGUAGAUAUCUGGAGGAACAUCAGUGGCGAAGGCGACUAUCUGGCACAUAACUGACGCUGAGGAGCGAAAGCGUGGGUAGCAAACAGGAUUAGAUACCCUCGUACC
rnacentral:rRNA from 1 species